GGAAAACUCACUUUCCCAAAACCUCACUUGCCAUGCUACAACCGAAUUCAAAAUCCUAAUGAAAAAAAGUACCUUCACUCGCAGUUGUGCCACACUUGUAUACCAUAAUCCAACACCCAUAUCGCGCAUUUCUUGCCAAGAUGGUUCCUUAGAUAAAAGAGAAUCAAACAAAUUCUCUUGGCAAUCAGAGUGGAAGGCCCAUCCAACCAGCCCCGAGUACACAAUCAGCUCACCUUCUGAUGGCAGUCUGCCAAAUCGUUGAACAAAAUACAGCUGCUGAAGGCCCAUCCAAUCAGCCCCGAAUACACAACCAGCUCACCUUCUGAUGGCGGUCUGCCAAAUCGUUGAACAAAAUACAGCUGCUGAAACCUCACAGAAACCCAAAACCUA
rnacentral:lncRNA from 1 species